rnacentral:rRNA from 1 species
UAGGGAAUAUUGCACAAUGGGCGAAAGCCUGAUGCAGCAACGCCGCGUGCGCGAUGACGGCCUUCGGGUUGUAAAGCGCUUUUCGGGGAGAUGAGGAAGGACAGUAUCCCCGGAAUAAGGCUCGGCUAACUACGUGCCAGCAGCCGCGGUAACACGUAGGAGCCAAGCGUUAUCCGAAUUCACUGGGCGUAAAGCGCGUGUAGGCGGCUUGGUAAGUUGGAUGUGAAAGCUCCUGGCUCAACUGGGAGAGGACGUUCAAUACUGCCGGGCUAGAGGGCGACAGAGGGAGGUGGAAUUCC